GCGCGUAGGUGGCCAUUUAAGUCCGCUGUGAAAGUCAAAGGCUCAACCUUUGAAAGCCGGUGGAUACUGGAUGGCUAGAGUACGGAAGAGGCGAGUGGAAUUCCUGGUGUAGCGGUGGAAUGCGCAGAUAUCAGGAGGAACACCCAUGGCGAAGGCAGCAAACUGGUCAUCAACUGGCGCUGAGGCGCGAAAGCGUGGGUAGCAAACAGGAUUAGAUACCCUGGUAGUCCACGCCCUAAACGAUGGAUACUAGGCGUAAGAGGUAUCGACCCCUCUUGUGCCGCAGCUAACGCAUUAAGUAUCCCGCCUGGGGAGUACGGCCGCAAGGUUGAAACUCAAAUGAAUUGACGGGGACCCGCACAAGCGGUGGAGCAUGUGGAUUAAUUCGAUACUAACCGAAGAACCUUACCCAGGUUUGACAUCGAUCGCAAAGCCUAGAGAUAGGCUCCUCUCUCACAAGGAGACGUGAAGACACUUGUUGCAUGGCUGUCGUCAGCUCGUGCCGUGAGGUGUACGGUUAAGUCCGCCAACGAGCGCAACCCUCGGCCUGUGUU
rnacentral:rRNA from 1 species